GACGAACGCUGGCGGCGUGCCUAAUACAUGCAAGUAGAACGCUGAAGGAGGAGCUUGCUUCUCUGGAUGAGUUGCGAACGGGUGAGUAACGCGUAGGUAACCUGCCUGGUAGCGGGGGAUAACUAUUGGAAACGAUAGCUAAUACCGCAUAAUAGUAGAUGUUGCAUGACAUUUGCUUAAAAGGUGCAAUUGCAUCACUACCAGAUGGACCUGCGUUGUAUUAGCUAGUUGGUGGGGUAACGGCUCACCAAGGCGACGAUACAUAGCCGACCUGAGAGGGGGAUCGGCCACCCUGGGACUGAGACACGGCCCAGACUCCUACGGGAGGCAGCCGUAGGGAAUCUUCGGCAAUAGACGGAAGUCUGACCGAGCAACGCCGCGUGAGUGAAGAAGGUUUUCGGAUCGUAAAGCUCUGUUGUAAGAGAAGAACGAGUGUGAGAGUGGAAAGUUCACACUGUGACGGUAUCUUACCAGAAAGGGACGGCUAACUACGUG
rnacentral:rRNA from 1 species